CCAAAGGCUCUUUUCAGAGCCACCCACAUUUUCUGUAAAAGAGUGU
rfam:Neotoma lepida isolate 417 scaffold_1433, whole genome shotgun sequence.